ACGCUCGACACCUACGGGAGACAGCAGUGGGGAAUAUUGCACAAUGGGGGAAACCCUGAUGCAGCAACGCCGCGUGAAGGAAGACGGUUUUCGGAUUGUAAACUUCUGUUCUUAGUGAAGAUAGUGACGGUAGCUAAGGAGCAAGCCACGGCUAACUACGUGCCAGUAGCCGCGGUAAUCUGAGCGGGCGUGGCAAGGC
rnacentral:rRNA from 1 species